GAUGAACGCUGGCGGCGUGCCUAAUACAUGCAAGUCGAGCGAACAGACGAGAAGCUUGCUUCUCUGAUGUUAGCGGCGGACGGGUGAGUAGCACGUGGAUAACCUACCUAUAAGACUGGGAUAACUUCGGGAAACCGGAGCUAAUACCGGAUAAUCUUUUGAACCGCAUGGUUCAAAAGUGAAAGACGGUCUUGCUGUCACUUAUAGAUGGAUCCGCGCUGCAUUAGCUAGUUGGUAAGGUAACGGCUUACCAAGGCAACGAUGCAUAGCCGACCUGAGAGGUUGAUCGGCCACACUGGAACUGAGACACGGUCCAGACUCCUACGGGAGGCAGCAGUAGGGAAUCUUCCGCAAUGGGCGAAAGCCUGACGGAGCAACGCCGCGUGAGUGAUGAAGGUCUUCGGAUCGUAAAACUCUGUUAUUAGGGAAGAACAUAUGUGUAAGUAACUGUGCACAUCUUGACGGUACCUAAUCAGAAAGCCACGGCUAACUACGUG
rnacentral:rRNA from 1 species